rnacentral:rRNA from 1 species
CCUACGGGUGGCUGCAGUGGGGAAUAUUGGACAAUGGGGGCAACCCUGAUCCAGCCAUACCGCGUGUGUGAAGAAGGCCUUAGGGUUGUAAAGCACUUUCAGUGGGGAGGAAAAGUUGCCGGCGAAUACCCGGCGACCGUGACGCUACCUGCAGAAGAAGCACCGGCAAACUCCGUGCCAGCAGCCGCGGUAAUACGGAGGGUGCGUGCGUUAAGUAGAAUGCGUGGGCGUGGAGCGGUAGUCGGCGGGUGAAAGCCCUGGGCUCAACCUGGGAACUGCAUCCAGAACUGCCAGGCUAGAGUAUGGUAGAGGACAGUGGAAUUUCCGGUGUAGCGGUGAAAUGCGUAGAGAUCGGAAGGAACACCAGUGGCGAAGGCGACUGUCUGGACCAAUACUGACGCUGAGGUGCGAAAGCGUGGGGAGCAAACAGGAUUAGAUACCCCUGUAGUC